rnacentral:rRNA from 1 species
AUACGUAGGUGGCAAGCGUUAUCCGGAUUUACUGGGCGUAAAGGGCGUGUAGGCGGACAAGGAAGUCGGACGUAAAAGCUCCCGGCCCAACUGGGAGAGGCCGUUCGAAACUCCUUGACUCGAGGCUAGUAGAGGCAAGUGGAAUUCCCGGUGUAGUGGUGAAAUGCGUAGAUAUCGGGAGGAAGACCAGAGGCGAAGGCGGCUUGCUGGGCUAGACCUGACGCUGAGACGCGAAAGCCAGGGGAGAGAACGGGAUUAGAAACCCCGGUAUUCCUGGCAGUAAACGAUGUCAACUAGGUGCGUGGGGUACCCAAUCCCUGCGUGCUGCCGCCAACGCAGUAAGUUGACCGCCUGGGGAGUACGGCCGCAAGGCUAAA